rnacentral:rRNA from 1 species
CCUACGGGGGGCAGCAGUGAGGAAUAUUGGUCAAUGGACGGAAGUCUGAACCAGCCAUGCCGCGUGCAGGAAGACGGCUCUAUGAGUUGUAAACUGCUUUUGUACAAGGGUAAACCGGAAUACGUGUAUUCAGCUGAAAGUACGGUACGAAUAAGGAUCGGCUAACUCCGUGCCAGCAGCCGCGGUAAUACGGAGGAUCCAUGCGUUAUCCGGAUUGAUUGGGUUUAAAGGGUGCGUAGGCGGCUUGUUAAGUUAGAGGGGAAAUGUCCGGGCUUAACUCGGGAACUGCCUCUCAUACUGUUGAUCUAGAGCGUAGAUGCGGUAGGCGGAAUGUAUGGUGUAGCGG